AACGAACGCUGGCGGCAGGCUUAACACAUGCAAGUCGAACGCCCCGCAAGGGGAGUGGCAGACGAGUGAGUAACGCGUGGGAAUCUACCCAUCUCUGCGGAAUAGCUCUGGGAAACUGGAAUUAAUACCGCAUACGCCCUACGGGGGAAAGAUUUAUCGGGGAUGGAUGAGCCCGCGCUGGAUUAGCUAGUUGGUGGGGUAAAGGCCUACCAAGGCGACGAUCCAUAGCUGGUCUGAGAGGAUGAUCAGCCACAUUGGGACUGAGACACGGCCCAAACUCCUACGGGAGGCAGCAGUGGGGAAUAUUGGACAAUGGGCGCAAGCUUGAUCCAGCCAUGCCGCGUGAGUGAUGAAGGCCUUAGGGUUGUAAAGCUCUUUCACCGAUGAAGAUAAUGACGGUAGUCGGAGAAGAAGCCCCGGCUAACUUCGUGCCAGCAGCCGCCGUAA
rnacentral:rRNA from 1 species